GACGAACGCUGGCGGCGUGCCUAACACAUGCAAGUCGAGCGAAGUGAGUACUACGGUACGAACUUAGCGGCGGACGGGUGAGUAACGCGUGGACAAUCUACCCUGUAGACUGGGAUAACACCUCGAAAGGGGUGCUAAUACCGGAUAAUGUCGAGAAGCGGCAUCGCUUUUCGAAGAAAGGAGAGAAUCCGAUAUAGGAGGAGUCCGCGUCCCAUGAGGUAGUUGGUGAGGGUAACGGACCACCCAGGCGACGAUGGGUAGCCGGCCUGCGAGGGGGAACGGCCACACUGGAACUGAGACACGGUCCAGACUCGUACGGGAGGCAGCAGUGGGGAAUAUUGUGCAAUGGGGGAAACCCUGACACAGUAACGCCGCGUGAGCGAAGAAGGCCUUCGGGUUGUAAAGCUCAAUAGUAUGGGAAGAUAAUGACGGUACCAUACGAAAGCCCCGGCUAACUACGUGCCAGCCGCCGCCGUAAAAC
rnacentral:rRNA from 1 species